ensembl:lncRNA
CUUCAGAGGAAUGUCCUAGGGACCCUUCGCAAUGGUAGCAUCGGACUUGCACCCGUGGGGACGGUGGGAAUUUACCUCCCUAUAUUAACCAGACUUUACAAAUUCAAAGUACUUCCUGCAGAGGGUGCUUUUACUUACGGGAAACCUAUUACAUUCGUCUCAUCAACCUAAGUCAUAUUUUUGCCCCGAGUCCCUUCAUCUCCCAUCUGUUCCUCCACCGUCUUCCUUUCUCACACUAGGUGUGUCCUCUGCCCUCUCUGCCUGGAGUGGCCACAAAACCCGGAAAGGUGGAAUCUGCUCAUUUUUAACUCUUGGGCGACUCCGGCGCUGGGCAUGCUCAGUAGUGAGAAAAGGUGCUGGUUGCGAGAAGGAAGCUUCUCCUCCUGCUGCAGAGAGAGCUGGGGCAGAGGAAGAGGAGAAGGAGGAGGAGGAGGAGGAGGAAGAAGAAGGAAAAGAAGAAGAAAAGGAGGUGGAGGUGGAGGAGGAGGAGGUGGAGGUGGAGGAGGGAGGCAACGCUGGCGGGCGGAGCUGUAGCCUCCCGGGAGCUUGGGAGCCUGAGCCCGAGCCCGUGAAAGUUAAACACAGGUGCUCUCUAAUAGAAGCCUAUGAUCUCAAACUGAGACCAUUGAUUUGACGUUAAAAAGGAUAUGUAAGCAACUGAGCAAACAUUGAAGAAAUACAUAAAGUACUAUCAUUGUUUAAGUGCAAAGCCUUCGUCUAUUCUUUAAGUGGUGAGUGAAGGGGAGAUGUGUGAAUUGGAUGGUUGGACAGGGUGAAAAAAAAUCAGUUUUAUGAAGGUUGGGUUUCAAGAGCUGCUUGAGUGAAAGAAAAAGGAGAAGGCUUAGUGAGAGAAGCCUGGGGUAGGUUAUCCUAAGCAGAAGAGGAAGUUCAAAUAGCAAGGAGAUCAUUAUGUGCAACAAUGGGAGAGAGUAGAUGGAGGGGGUGAGGGGUGGGGAGUAAAAGGACAGAUAAUGAACAAAUGGGCCUGACCAGACUGGAAGAAUUUCUGCAAUACAGCACUCUCUAAACUCUUCUCCUAGCACUUCCAUUAUUCUUUUUGUCUUCUUACCUGGCUCUUCUUUCUCUCUAAAAUAUUGACAUCUACUGAGGUUCUCUUUUCGGUCUUUUGUUCUUUUCUGUGUUCUGGGAAGAAUUUCAUUCUCUCCCACAACUUUAACUCUCUCCUCAGAGUGAAGGAUUGUCCAGUUAAAUCUUCAACUUUCAUCUUCUUGAGUGACUAUCCCACAUCUCUCUUCUUAUGUGGUUGACAUUUCUUCUUCCUCUUUGAGUCCUUCCUUAAUCCUUCCUGUUUUUAAUAUUCUCUUUCUCCUCAAAUUACUUUGUACUUAUUUUUUUAUAUACAUACUGAAUCCUUCCCUAUGGAAUAUGAGCUCCUUGAGGGUAAGAACUAUUUCAUUUGAUCUUUAUUGUGAUUAUUCAUAAUACAAGUUGGCUCAUAGUACUUUAAAGUGGACAAAAUAUCUUAUCUUGUUUAAUCCUUGUAACAAGCCUGUGAGGUCCUAUAUGUUUAUUUAAUAUGCUUUCAUUUGCAUUCAGUCUCUAUCAGUUAUUUCUCUGUAGGUGAUAUUAUAUAAUUAGGGCUUUUUCUCCAGAACUCUAAAUCCCAGCUUCCC